rnacentral:rRNA from 1 species
AUUGAACGCUGGCGGCAUGCCUUACACAUGCAAGUCGAACGGUAACGGGCCUUCGGGUGCCGACGAGUGGUGAACGGGUGAGUAAUACAUCGGAACGUGCCCGAUCGUGGGGGAUAACGAGGCGAAAGCUUUGCUAAUACCGCAUACGAUCUACGGAUGAAAGCAGGGGACCACAAGGCCUUGCGCGGACGGAGCGGCCGAUGGCAGAUUAGGUAGUUGGUGGGAUAAAAGCUUACCAAGCCGACGAUCUGUAGCUGGUCUGAGAGGAUGAUCAGCCACACUGGGACUGAGACACGGCCCAGACUCCUACGGGAGGCAGCAGUGGGGAAUUUUGGACAAUGGGCGCAAGCCUGAUCCAGCCAUGCCGCGUGCAGGAUGAAGGCCUUCGGGUUGUAAACUGCUUUUGUACGGAACGAAAAGCCUUCUUUUAAUACAGGAGGGUCAUGACGGUACCGUAAGAAUAAGCACCGGCUAACUACGUG